CUUUGAGUUGAGUACCCAGAAUUGAGUAUCUUAUCAUUGAGUUGAACUAUGUUUCUUAUUUUUGAGUUGAAUUUAGUUGAGUGAGUUGAGAGAACGUAAUUAUGUUUUCUUUUUAUCAAGUUCAAGCUUAUAUUUAUUCUAUAGAAUUCCCUUACAUGCUUGAACAUACCACGUACUGAUCCAUUUGGCCUGCAUCGUUUCAUGAUGCAUGUACAAGUAUCCAGGAUCAUCAACAAAAACUUCAUUGAUAUCAUAUAGAGUUUAAGUUAGCUAUGGUGAGUCUCCUUAUUUUCGAAGGGUUCCACUUGUACUUUCAGUUAUAUCAAUUGUUAGG
rnacentral:misc_RNA from 1 species